rnacentral:lncRNA from 1 species
CUGCUUUGGCACCUGCUCCAAACCGGAAGCUCUCAGGUUGUCAUCCAGCCCACGGCAGGGGCUGUCCUGGCUGAGGGCAUCGUCUAGUCUCUGAGCUCUCUGGCUCUAUCCCCGAGCUGAAAAACCUGUUAGAAAACUCUGUUUCUUCAGGCUCCAACGACCUGCUUCCCUCCAUUGCCCUGUCUGGGGCAAUGAAACUAUAGAAUCAGGGAGAAGAAAUGACUCUAGAAGCAGUCAUUCAAGUGCGCUAAGCUGUAUGUAACUAUAUGUAACUUUAGAUCUUUUUCUUCUGAAGACAAAGGUGAUUCUGCUUUCCUAACCUGCCAUGGUGCUGAACACACCCCACAUCUGGCACCAAGAAGGGCGGGGCUCCCUCCCCCAGCAGUAAUGGGGGCGGGGCUGAGAGCUGGGGUCUGUGGUCCUGGAGAAAUACAAAGUCCUAUUGAUUGCCUCUCCUAUAGCCCUGUGGAGUUACUCCAGAGAUGUAUUUAUGAAGCUGAUAAGUAGCCUGGGAUUGAUUUCUUUCCCAAAGUCCCGUGUGACAUGAUUGAGCAGUAAGGAACGGCUGCAUCAGAGUCAGCUAAAAGCACCCUGGGAGGGGAGUGUUUAUAAUUAUGUUAUUUAUCUCUGGAUGCUGCGAAUGGCCUGAUACUCGUGCUACCAAGACAAUCCAUUGACAUUCCUCUAAUCAGAGCGCGUAGAGUUUGCAGCCGGGUGCAUGCAAG